rnacentral:misc_RNA from 1 species
GAUGAAGAACGCAGCGAAAUGCGAUACGUAAUGUGAAUUGCAGAAUUAAGUGAAUCAUCGAAUCUUUGAACGCAUAUUGCGCUCUCUGGUAUUCCGGAGAGCAUGCUUGUUUGAGUAUCAGUAAACACCUCAACUUCCAUAUCUUUUUUGAAAUGGGAGUUGGACUUGAGUGAUCCCAACGCUUUUCCUCACCGAAAAGUGGCGGGUUACUUGAAAUGCAGGUGCAGCUGGACUUUUCUCUGAGCUAUAAGCAUAUCUAUUUAGUCUGCCUAAAAAACAGAUUAUUACCUUUGCUGCAGCUAACAUAAAGGAGAUUAGUUCUUGUGCUGACUGAUGCAGGAUUCACAAAGACAGGCUUCGGCCGACUUUGUAAACUCGAUCUCAAAUCAAGUAAGACUACCCGCUGAACUUAAGCAUAUCAAUAAGCGGAGGA